AACAGCUAGCACAUUGCUCAGGAUGCAGCUGCUUGUCCAGAGGGGUGUGAAGGGAAGGCGGACAGGCACCAGGGAGGCAGUCUACAAACUGAGUGCACUGCUUACACAGGAGGAAACUGACAAAGAGGCCCCAGAGGAGGCAGAUUCUAGCCUGCAGCUUCCCCAUCCCUCAAAGCAUGCAGGUUAUGCUUCUUGGGAAGAGUGAAAAAUCACUUCUGUGAUGUUCCUGCCAGAGAUGCAAAACUGAAAUCUAAUCACGAGGAGCCGUCACAUAAACCCAAUUUGAGGAACCUUCUACAAAACAACUGGCCUGUAACCUGGUUGCAGAGAGGAAAGGAGGAAAUUUUUCGAUAGAAAAAUCUUGGAGAUCCUGUUGCUGUCACCCAUCGGGCUGUUGGAAGCUGGGGUUAGUCCAGAAGUCUUCAGGUAAUGCCAGGGUGUUGCCCUGGCCAGGAACUCUCAGUUGCCUCUGAACUUCUUCCAGCCCCACAUGAUGGCUAAGCUCUCCAUGAAAGGAGACCAGUUGGAAACAAAGCCAACAUUCCCAGCACCCUGAGGGCACUGAAGGAUUGGCUAAGUUCUCCCCGGCAAGCCUGUUCCCUGAGAAAAUGGAGGACAGAGUCCUUAAAAUGAAAGAGCUGGGGUCUGUGCCUAUACUCACUCUUUCAAUGAAUCUACGUCGGAUCCCAGGCAGGCCCCCACAAUGAAGUGGUGUUGUUCAACUGAGGUAAUACCCAAGGUUCGUUGUCUCAUGGCCACAGAAAACUAGGACUCGGACACACCAGAGUGAGGUUAAGAGCAGAAGUUUAAUAGGCAAAAGAAAGAGAAAAGCUCUCUCUGUUGCAGAGAGAGGGGUCCUGGCGAAAAUGGGUUGCCCCCAAGUUCAUUCUUGUUGUUCGCAAUGUUCAGCGUCUUGCGGUUGUGGGACUGACCGUAACAGACGAUUUUUUUGUUGGCUAGAAGCCACCUGCAUUCCUUGAUGUGUGGCCCCUCCAUCUUCAAGUGAGCAAUGGUGUUUUGAAUCCUCCUUAUGCUUCAUGUCUUUGACUUCCUCUUCUGUGACCAACCGGGAAAAACUCACUGCUUUAAAAGGGCUCUUAGGAUUAGAUCAGGUACUGUGUUAGUUCACUUUUGCAUUGCUAUAAAGAAAUACCUGAGGCUGGGUGAUUUAUAAAGAAAAG
rnacentral:lncRNA from 1 species